GAAUAUUGCGCAAUGGGCGAAAGCCUGACGGAGCAACGCCGCGUGAGCGAUGAAGGUCUUCGGAUCGUAAAGCUCUGUUGUUAGGGAAGAACAAGUACCGGAGUAACUGUCGGUACCUUGCUGGUACCUACCCAGAAACCCACGGCUCACUACGUGCCAGCAGCCGCGGUAAUACGUAGGUGGCAAGCGUUGUCCGGAAUGAGUGGGCGUAAAGCGCGCGCAGGCGGUCCUUUAAGUCUGAUGUGAAAUCUUGCGGCUCAACCGCAAGCGGUCAUUGGAAACUGGGGGACUUGAGUGCAGGAGAGGAAAGCGGAAUUCCAUGUGUAGCGGUGAAAUGCGUAGAGAUAUGGAGGAACACCAGUGGCGAAGGCGGCUUUCUGGCCUGUAACUGACGCUGAGGCGCGAAAGCGUGGGGAGCAAA
rnacentral:rRNA from 1 species